UGAAGUGGCUUCUAAGCUGCUUCGGAGAUCCAGCCAUAGGGUAUAAUGGGCAAAUCAAUUAAAUAUCUAGAACUUUGUUUUUGUCCGAUUUGGCUGAAACCUGAAGGGAUGGUAGCCUCUGCUGAGAGCAUGAAGCCUGCCAAGUUUCAAAAGGAUCGGUGCAGGGGUUCAG